rnacentral:tRNA from 1 species
UCCGGAAUGGUGUAGUGGUUAGCAUUUCUGCCUCUCAUCAACAAUUAGAUGAUCGCAGGAGACCGGGGUUCAAUUCCCCGUUCCGGAA